GACGAACGCUGGCGGCAUGCCUAACACAUGCAAGUCGAACGGGACCUUCCUGCCUUUGUGCGCUCGGGUGCGUAAGACGGGGUAACCUACACUUAGGUUCCGUAUCCCUCCCCUAGAGGUAUGCUAAUAACACUGAAUCUCUUCGCACCAAAGAUUUCUCGCCUUUGGAUGGGCGCUCGUUGGAUUAGCUGGUUGGUAGGGUAAUAGCCUACCAUGGCCACGAUGCAUAGCUGGUCUGUGAGGAUGCUACGCCACGAUGGAACUGCGACACGGCCCAGAAUCGGACGGAAGGCAGCAGAGGGGAAUAUUGGACGAGGGGCGAAAGCCUGAUCAAGCAAUGUGGGGUGAGUGAGGAAGCGCGUAGGGUUGUAAAGCUCUUUUAGACGGGAUGUGAGUGACGGUAACGGGUGAAGAAGCUCCGGCUAACUACGUG
rnacentral:rRNA from 1 species